AGGGCAGAAAAGACUGAAGUCCUGAGUGAAGACCUUCUCCAGGUGGAGAAGCGGCUGGAGCUGGUGAAGCAGGUGUCCCACAGCACGCACAAGAAGCUCACUGCGUGUCUGCAGGGCCAGCAAGGGACCGAGGCCGACAAGCGCUCA